rnacentral:tRNA from 1 species
CCUGGGUUAGUUUAAUGGUAAAACGGGAGGCUGUAAACCUCUUGAUACUGGUUCGAUUCCAGUACUCGGGAC